rnacentral:rRNA from 1 species
AUCACUCCCCUUCGGGGGUGUGGAGUUCUGGGGCUGCGUGGGAACUUCGCUGGUAGUAGUCAAGCGAAGGGGUGACGCAGGAAGGUAGCCGUACCAGUCAGUGGUAACACUGGGGCAAGCCGGUAGGGAGAGCGAUAGGCAAAUCCGUCGCUCACUAAUCCUGAGAGGUGACGCAUAGCCGGUUGAGGCGAAUUCGGUGAUCCUCUGCUGCCAAGAAAAGCCUCUAGCGAGCACACACACGGCCCGUACCCCAAACCGACACAGGUGGUCAGGUAGAGCAUACCAAGGCGUACGAGAUAACUAUGGUUAAGGAACUCGGCAAAAUGCCCCCGGAACUUCGGGAGAAGGGGGACCGGAAUAUCGUGAACACCCUUGCGGUGGGAGCGGGAUCCGGUCGCAGAAACCAGUGAGGAGCGACUGUUUACUAAAAACACAGGUCCGUGCGAAGUCGCAAGACGAUGUAUACGGACUGACGCCUGACCGGUGCUGGAA